UUCCUCCCGAAUGUUUUGGAUCGUUACGUCAAUUGCUGAUGCAUGCGCGCACGGAAAAGUGUUGCCGUCAGCCAUAGCUGAGCACUUGUCCGGGACACCAUUUACCAGCUAGCAGUUAGCUGAUGCUGAGAGCAGUAAUCAUGCACACACACCCCACAAGAGAAAUUAACCAUCUCGUUAUUAUAUGUAUACAUAUAUUUUAAUUCAUUCAUUUACACUUCAAGUUUCACCGAUCAUCACCUCCUCGUAUAUGUAUUCACCUAGGAGUAGUAAUCAAUACAAUCCAAUUAAUCAGCCAGCUGCCCUGCUGAUGAAGUAUCACCUCCAAAUAAAAGCCACCCUAGCUACACACUGACGACGACGCAUAGUACGUGAUCGAACUAGACUGCGCGCGGCGCCCGGGGUAGUCCGAUCGAUCCCGGCCCAGGCUAUGUUCAGUACUCCAUCAUAUCCAUCGGCCUAGCUCGAUCAGUCGGCGUCGUGGUCGUGCCAGCACAGGAGCAUGGAGACGCACCUGCCGAGGAUGUACAGCCUCGUCUUGUGCUGCUUCAGCACGGCGUUGCAGCGGCCAGCGAAGCCGCCCACGGCCUUCUGCCGCCGCCGCCGGCGGCCGUACGUCGAGCAGCACAUGGCGGAGCGAGCAGGGACAGAGGCCGAGAUCGACUCCAUGGACGACACCCUAGCCAUCUGGUUGAUGAUGAUGAGAAUUAUAUUGAGAUGCGUUGGUAGAAUAUAAUGGUUUGCCGCACUUUGCAGGUGCAGAGGUGAAUGUGUGGAAGGAAGGAAUGAUGUUGUAGAUUGGUUGAGCACCGGACGGAGAGUGCGGCUGGGAUGCCGGUGGUUAAAUAGCUAGGGCCGGGCCGGCCGGGGUCCGUUCGUGCCCGGUCCCCGGCGGCGCGCAUUGGCAGUUCUACCCUCGAGCACCCCGCCCCCCAUAGGUUGCC
rnacentral:lncRNA from 1 species